rnacentral:rRNA from 1 species
UGAGGAAUAUUGGUCAAUGGUCGCAAGACUGAACCAGCCAUGCCGCGUGCAGGAUGAAGCAUCUAUGGUGUGUAAACUGCUUUUGUACGGGAAGAAACACUCCUACGUGUAGGGGCUUGACGGUACCGUAAGAAUAAGGAUCGGCUAACUCCGUGCCAGCAGCCGCGGUAAUACGGAGGAUCCAAGCGUUAUCCGGAAUCAUUGGGUUUAAAGGGUCCGUAGGCGGCUUUAUAAGUCAGUGGUGAAAUCCGGCAGCUUAACUGUCGAAUUGCCAUUGAUACUGUAGGGCUUGAAUUGUUGUGAAGUAACUAGAAUAUGUAGUGUAGCGGUGAAAUGCUUAGAUACUACAUGGAAUACCAAUUGCGAAGGCAGGUUACUAACAAUACAUUGACGCUGAUGGACGAAAGCGUGGGUAGCGAACAGGAUUAGAUACCCUGGUAGUCCACGCUGUAAACGAUGGAUACUAGCUGUUUGGUUGUAAGACUGAGUGGCUAAGCGAAAGUGAUAAGUAUCCCACCUGGGGAGUACGAACGCAAGUUUG